AUAUGUAUAAGUAUCCCUGCUGCAUCUGCCCAUAACCACCAGACCUACCGAGAACAGGCAGGCAUCCACCACAACCAACAGCUAGCAGCGGCAGGGAGAGAAGGACGAUGAGCACGGCGAGGUUCAUCAAGUGCGUGACGGUCGGCGACGGCGCCGUCGGCAAGACCUGCAUGCUCAUCUCCUACACCAGCAACACCUUCCCCACGGAUUACGUGCCCACGGUAUUUGACAACUUCAGCGCCAACGUCGUCGUCGACGGCAACACGGUGAACCUCGGCCUUUGGGAUACCGCUGGACAAGAAGACUACAACAGGCUGAGGCCUCUUAGCUACAAAGGGGCUGAUGUCUUUCUGUUAGCAUUUUCCCUCAUCAGCAAAGCGAGCAAUGAGAAUAUUCACAAGAAGUGGAUACCAGAGCUAAGACAUUAUGCUCCAAAUGUGCCGAUUGUGUUAGUUGGAACAAAGCUUGACUUGCGUGAGGACAAGCAGUUCUUCCUGGACCACCCUGGUUUAGCGCCUAUCUCUACUGCACAGGGCGAGGAGCUGAAGAGGAUGAUAGGUGCAGCAGCCUACAUAGAAUGCAGCUCCAAGACUCAACAGAAUGUGAAGGCGGUGUUCGACUCCGCCAUAAAGGUCGUGCUGUGCCCGCCGAAGCCAAAGAAGAAGAGCGCCCGGAAGCAGAGUUGCUGGAUUCUAUGAGCCGGCAGGCACAGAAGGAUGUUACAGUCGAAGGGCACUUCUUGCGUUUUAUUAUUUGUGGUUCGUGUUGUGUUGUUGCUGCUAGAUCCUGUCUUCGCUAAAAUUUGAUGCGUCUUAUGUGUGUAGUUGAUCUUUCUUUUCUUGGAGUCAUACACCACAGGUCUGCUAUGAUCUUUGCAAGUAAUCGAGUACACUACCAACUCCCUCUGCGUCAGGCAAAAGAAAGAGGCCGAAUAGCUUGGACUCUACCGGCAUCCCUCUAUUGGCUGUAGACCUGUAGUGUUUGGCAUAU